UAUAUUACAGAAAUACCCAAAAAUGAUUUUGUGUAAAUAAAGUAGUUUUCAUAGUAUACUAAAAUAGUUAACUGUAAAAAAAAAAGUGUCAAAUAAAAAAAAAUUAAAAUGUAUGUAAAAAGCUACGGCACUUUAAAUGGAAUCCAGCCAUACAACGGCAGACAAGACAAGCAGGAUUGGAAUGAGUCCACAACACUCCUGAUUGGUUGAUAUAAACGUCAUCGAAAAAACCUGCCAAUGAGCACUGUCCGCGCCUUUCAAUCCAAUUUGAAACUUCCACGUCAGUUUGAGCGGCUCUCCUGCGUAGCUACAGCUGUCUGUAUGUCUGCUCACGAGUUUAUGGACUAAUAUCGGGAUAGUUUUAUAUCUACACGUUAAAUAUGAGCAUCGGGACGUCAACAGAGAACAGAAGACUUGAGAUCUGAUCUGCAUGGGAGACGAUGGCGCGAUGCAGAGCGCUGUCUGUGAUUGUGCACGAGGGAUGUACAAAUGCAGCCACGCUGCAGCAUUGGCAAUAUUUGCCAUGUGGCAGAUCAGCUCCACAGAUGUUGAGUGCCAGUGGAGGAAUCCUGGCACUUCCAAAGUAGUCCAGCCGGUGUCUCAACUCUAUCAACAGCAAGAGGAGACAUACAACCCACUGGCCAGAGACAUCGCCACUCAGGAUGUAGACUGGUUCAGGUCUGCACUGAGGGGCACACAGUGUGGCAUGGCAUGGCUUUUAUCACCUGAGCCAGAGCCGCAGCCUCAACAUCAGGCCAUUGUCACCGUGCCGGAGCUGGUGAAGGAGCAUGGGGGUCGGGGGCUUGAGGCAAUUCUUGCCUCAUUGCGACUGACAAGAGACCAGCAAGCUGCCAUCCAGACAGCCACCGUAGGACAGCGGACAAAUCCCCAGUGGCAGUUACACAGACAGGGCAGGUUGACAGCCAGCAAUUUUGGUGCUGUGCUGAGGUCGGGACUUUCAUCCACUCCAUGCGCGUCCCUCAUGAAGAGGGUGCUUGGGGGUUACAAUUUAGACGGAGUCAUGGCUGUCAACUGGGGAGUUGUAAAUGAGGCCGAAGGGGUGAAGGCUUUUGUGCAGGCCUAUCGGGUGACAGUGAUCGACGCUGGUCUCUUUGUGAGUGAGUCGGGUGUUUUGGGAGCAUCACCCGAUGGACUUGUGCAGCCAUCUGCCCUGCUGGAGGUGAAGUGUCCACACAGCCAGAGGAACAUGACCAUCGCGGAGGCAGUCUAGUUAUCAUCCUUCUGUCUCCGUGAGGAGGGUGGGUCUUAUGUUCUCAAGGAGAAUCACCCAUACUGGCACCAGGUCCAAGGGCAGCUGCACAUCACAGACCGGAGUAUCUGCUAUUUUGUUGUGUGGACCACGAAGGAGGCGAUCAUCAUCCCCAUCCCCAAAGACCCUGCAUGGCAUGGAAAUCUCCUCCUCCUGGAGAACUUCUACACUCAGCAUAUAUCAUUGCUGAAGAAUGAAUCAGUCCGUCAAAAGAUGAUUGCUCGCCUGGCUCUGGUAGGAGGCGCCAAUUCAGAGAACCUGAUCAGACGGAUGCUGGCAACUGCUCUGACUAACGCCUUGGCCUGUCAGUACAACUGGGCUUGGAAGAAGCCAUUCAAGGAAACGGCAAUACAAGACUGCAUAUUUGCUGCUGCUCGGCAGUUCGACCGCAAGCUGACCCACAAUGGCUUCAGUGAAACUGUGAAGAAGUGGCUUCGUUAUGCUCCAGAGCGCGAGGGAGGCAUCCCAAGGAACACAAGUGAAACGAACACAAGUGAAACAAACGCAAGCCCAACUUAGGGUACCCCACCACACUCUAAUGUGUUUUCCUUGUGCAUACAGUACAAAGGUUACCGCCUCACAGACAAUACUGUUCUUUCAUGGACAAUAGACUGUUGUUCUUACAGUCAAAAAUAAGUCAAAUGUUUACAGCUUCGCCUUCAUGGAAGACUUGAAGCUUCAGGCUGUUCUUGUUUGGAGUUGCACCAAUGGUUCUUACACACCCUCUUUUUUUUGAUGAGGGUAUCUUGUGUAACUGUAUAUUUGCACAUGCGAUGUGUCCUCUGCAUUUAUUCCACAGCGUUUGGGGAGCAAUAACGGGUUAAGAGUCUUGCUCAGGGACGCAUUGCUGCCUGUUUUCUAAAAUAAAUUUGAAUAUUAAAAUCAUGUUUUCUGUCA